rnacentral:rRNA from 1 species
UACGGGGGGGGGGCUAGCGUUGUUCGGAAUUACUGGGCGUAAAGGGCUCGUAGGCGGCCAACUAAGUCAGACGUGAAAUCCCUCGGCUUAACCGGGGAACUGCGUCUGAUACUGGAUGGCUUGAGUUUGGGAGAGGGAUGCGGAAUUCCAGGUGUAGCGGUGAAAUGCGUAGAUAUCUGGAGGAACACCAAUGGCGAAGGCAGCUCUCUGGGACGGUACUGACGCUGAGACGCGAAAGCGUGGGGAGCGAACAGG